rnacentral:rRNA from 1 species
UGGGGAAUAUUGGACAAUGGGCGCAAGCCUGAUCCAGCCAUGCCGCGUGAGUGAUGAAGGCCUUAGGGUUGUAAAGCUCUUUUGUCAGGGAAGAUAAUGACGGUACCUGAAGAAUAAGCACCGGCUAACUUCGUGCCAGCAGCCGCGGUAAUACGAAGGGUGCUAGCGUUGUUCGGAAUCACUGGGCGUAAAGCGCGCGUAGGCGGCUAAUCAAGUCAGGGGUGAAAUCCCACAGCUCAACUGUGGAACUGCCUUUGAAACUGGUUAGCUAGAGUGUUGGAGGGGAUAGCGGAAUUGCUAAUGUAGAGGUGAAAUUCGUAGAUAUUAGCAGGAACACCGGUGGCGAAGGCGGCUAUCUGGACAACAACUGACGCUGAGGCGCGAAAGCGUGGGGAUCAAACAG